AGCUCAGCUGGUAGAGCAUGGUGUUUGCAACGCCAGGGUUGUGGGUUCAAUUCCCAU
rnacentral:tRNA from 1 species